UACGGAGGGUGCGAGCGUUGUCCGGAAUCACUGGGCGUAAAGGGCGCGUAGGCGGCCUGGUAAGUAGGGGGUGAAAUCCUGCGGCUUAACCGCAGGGCUGCCUUCUAAACUGUCAGGCUGGAGCACUGUAGAGGCAGGUGGAAUUCCGGGUGUAGCGGUGGAAUGCGUAGAGAUCCGGAAGAACACCGGUGGCGAAGGCGGCCUGCUGGGCAGUAGCUGACGCUGAAGCGCGACAGCGUGGGGAGCAAACAGG
rnacentral:rRNA from 1 species